rfam:Schistosoma rodhaini strain Burundi genome assembly, scaffold: SROB_scaffold0002712
AUCCUGCUGGCGAGUCCCAAAUAGGACGAAACGCGCGUCCUGGAU